rnacentral:rRNA from 1 species
UACGUAGGUGGCAAGCGUUGUCCGGAUUUACUGGGCGUAAAGAGCUCGUAGGCGGUCUGUCGCGUCGGACGUGAAAAUCCAGGGCUCAACCCUGGACCUGCGUUCGAUACGGGCAGACUAGAGUUCGGUAGGGGAGACUGGAAUUCCUGGUGUAGCGGUGAAAUGCGUAGAUAUCGGGAGGAACACCAGUGGCGAAGGCGACUACCUGGCCUGUUCUUGACGCUGAGGCGCGAAAGCUAGGGGAGCAAACGGG